rnacentral:rRNA from 1 species
UACGGGGGGGGCAAGCGUUGUUCGGAAUUACUGGGCGUAAAGGGCUCGUAGGCGGCCAACUAAGUCAGACGUGAAAUCCCUCGGCUUAACCGGGGAACUGCGUCUGAUACUGGAUGGCUUGAGGUUGGGAGAGGGAUGCGGAAUUCCAGGUGUAGCGGUGAAAUGCGCAGAUAUCGGGAGGGACACCAAUGGCGAAGGCAGCUCGCUGGGACGUGACUGACGCUGAGACGCGA